rnacentral:rRNA from 2 species
GAUGGUUGUUGAACCCGCAUGUCAGACAUAAAAGGUGGUUUCGCUACCACUACAGAUGACCGCGGCAUUAGCUAGUUGGUGAGUACGCUCACCAUGCACGAUGCGUAGCGACUGAGAGGGUGAUCGCCACACUGGGACUGAGACACGGCCCAGACUCUACGGGAGGCAGCAGUAGGGAAUCUCCGCAAUGGACGAAAGUCUGACGGAGCAACGCCGCGUGAGUGAUGAAGGUUUUCGGAUCGUAAAGCUCUGUUGUUAGGGAAGAACAAGUACCGUUCGAAUAGGGCGGUACCUUGACGGUACCUAACCAGAAAGCCACGGCUAACUACGUGCCAGCAGCCGCGGUAAUACGUAGGUGGCAAGCGUUGUCCGGAAUUAUUGGGCGUAAAGGGCUCGCAGGCGGUUUCUUAAGUCUGAUGUGAAAGCCCCCGGCUCAACCGGGGAGGGUCAUUGGAAACUGGGGAACUUGAGUGCAGAAGAGGAGAGUGGAAUUCCACGUGUAGCGGUGAAAUGCGUAGAGAUGUGGAGGAACACCAGUGGCGAAGGCGACUCUCUGGUCUGUAACUGACGCUGAGGAGCGAAAGCGUGGGGAGCGAACAGGAUUAGAUACCCUGGUAGUCCACGCCGUAAACGAUGAGUGCUAAGUGUUAGGGGGUUUCCGCCCCUUAGUGCUGCAGCUAACGCAUUAAGCACUCCGCCUGGGGAGUACGGUCGCAAGACUGAAACUCAAAGGAAUUGACGGGGGCCCGCACAAGCGGUGGAGCAUGUGGUUUAAUUCGAAGCAACGCGAAGAACCUUACCAGGUCUUGACAUCCUCUGACAAUCCUAGAGAUAGGACGUCCCCUUCGGGGGCAGAGUGACAGGUGGUGCAUGGUUGUCGUCAGCUCGUGUCGUGAGAUGUUGGGUUAAGUCCCGCAACGAGCGCAACCCUUGAUCUUAGUUGCCAGCAUUCAGUUGGGCACUCUAAGGUGACUGCCGGUGACAAACCGGAGGAAGGUGGGGAUGACGUCAAAUCAUCAUGCCCCUUAUGACCUGGGCUACACACGUGCUACAAUGGACAGAACAAAGGGCAGCGAAACCGCGAGGUUAAGCCAAU